rnacentral:lncRNA from 1 species
GUCCGGCGGAAGCGGCCGGAGGUUGCCGAAGCGCCGCUCCGCGCCGCGGCCUGCGCCGCCUCGGCCUGUCGUGCCCGCCCCGGCCGGGGCGCCCCCCCCGCGGCCCGGCUGCCGGCGCUGGGCGAGGCCGCGGCUUGGGCCUGGUCGCGAGGAGGGCGAUGGAGGGUUGUGACCCCCCCGUUCAGCACCGCCGGAGCAGCAACACCCCGUCCAUGAGGCCUCAGCGCACAGCGCCCCCGUGAGGUGAUGAGCACGGCGCUGGAGCUGCGUGAGCCCAUUGGGUGCACCCAGCCCCACAUCCCGCCCCAUAGAGCAGGCCCAGCCCCACAUCCACUCCCAUAGAGCACCCCCAGCCCCACACCCCGCCCCAUAGAACACCCCCAGCCCCACAUCCCGCCCCAUAGAACGGACCCAGCCCCACAGGACAGCCCCACAGAACAGCCCCAGCACCACAAAACAGCCCCAGCCCCACAUCCCGCCCCAUAGAGCACCCCCAGCCCCACAUCCCGCUCCAUAGAACAGCCCCAGCCCCACAUCCCGCUCCAUAGAGCACCCCCAGCCCCACAUCCCGCCCCAUAGAGCACCCCCAGC